UAGGGAAUAUUGGGCAAUGGAGGGAACUCUGACCCAGCCAUGCCGCGUGCAGGAUGAAGGCGUUAUGCGUUGUAAACUGCUUUUUAUAUAGGAAGAAAUAGUCCUUGCGAGGAAAGUUGACGGUACUAUAUGAAUAAGCACCGGCUAACUCCGUGCCAGCAGCCGCGGUAAUACGGAGGGUGCAAGCGUUGUCCGGAUUUAUUGGGUUUAAAGGGUGCGUAGGCGGUUUAUUAAGUCAGUGGUGAAAGACGGUCGCUCAACGAUUGCAGUGCCAUUGAUACUGGUAGACUUGAGUAUGAUUGAGGUAGCUGGAAUGGAUAGUGUAGCGGUGAAAUGCAUAGAUAUUAUCCAGAACACCAAUUGCGUAGGCAAGUUACUAAGUCAUAACUGACGCUGAGGCACGAAAGUGUGGGUAUCAAACAGGAUUAGAUACCCCGGUAGUCCCUGAGCGGGCUGGCAAGGCGCAU
rnacentral:rRNA from 1 species